UACGAAGGGGGCUAGCGUUGCUCGGAAUUACUGGGCGUAAAGCGCACGUAGGCGGAUCUUUAAGUCAGGGGUGAAAUCCUGGAGCUCAACUCCAGAACUGCCUUUGAUACUGAGGAUCUUGAGUCCGGGAGAGGUGAGUGGAACUCCGAGUGUAGAGGUGAAAUUCGUAGAUAUUCGGAAGAACACCAGUGGCGAAGGCGGCUCACUGGCCCGGUACUGACGCUGAGGUGCGAAAGCGUGGGGAGCAAACAGG
rnacentral:rRNA from 1 species